CCGGCGCACGGGUGCGUAACGCGUAUGCAACCUACCUUUAACAGGGGAUAACACUGAGAAAUUGGUACUAAUACCCCAUAAUAUCAUAGAAGGCAUCUUUUAUGGUUGAAAAUUCCGAUGGUUAGAGAUGGGCAUGCGUUGUAUUAGCUAGUUGGUGGGGUAACGGCUCACCAAGGCGACGAUACAUAGGGGGACUGAGAGGUUGAACGGCCACAUUGGGACUGAGACACGGCCCAG
rnacentral:rRNA from 1 species